UCGAGCGGAUGAAGGGAGCUUGCUCCUGGAUUCAGCGGCGGACGGGUGAGUAAUGCCUAGGAAUCUGCCUGGUAGUGGGGGAUAACGUCCGGAAACGGGCGCUAAUACCGCAUACGUCCUGAGGGAGAAAGUGGGGGAUCUUCGGACCUCACGCUAUCAGAUGAGCCUAGGUCGGAUUAGCUAGUUGGUGGGGUAAAGGCCUACCAAGGCGACGAUCCGUAACUGGUCUGAGAGGAUGAUCAGUCACACUGGAACUGAGACACGGUCCAGACUCCUACGGGAGGCAGCAGUGGGGAAUAUUGGACAAUGGGCGAAAGCCUGAUCCAGCCAUGCCGCGUGUGUGAAGAAGGUCUUCGGAUUGUAAAGCACUUUAAGUUGGGAGGAAGGGCAGUAAGUUAAUACCUUGCUGUUUUGACGUUACCAACAGAAUAAGCACCGGCUAACUUCGUGCCAGCAGCCGCGGUAAUACGAAGGGUGCAAGCGUUAAUCGGAAUUACUGGGCGUAAAGCGCGCGUAGGUGGUUCAGCAAGUUGGAUGUGAAAUCCCCGGGCUCAACCUGGGAACUGCAUCCAAAACUACUGAGCUAGAGUACGGUAGAGGGUGGUGGAAUUUCCUGUGUAGCGGUGAAAUGCGUAGAUAUAGGAAGGAACACCAGUGGCGAAGGCGACCACCUG
rnacentral:rRNA from 1 species